rnacentral:lncRNA from 1 species
AUGAAGGGGCAAAUAAACUAUCAUGAGUUGAAUAUCCCAUUAAGAAAAUGCAUGCUUCUGGCUUUGUUUUCUUUCUUCUUCCCACAGCACCCAGCCAGACUGCUCAGAUCAGCACCCUACCAAUGGCAGCCUCAUUCUCAUAAACACACAAAGCCCCAAAAAGAAACUGAGCAAAUAUUUCCUGUGAUGGUCCCCUCUGCCUUCACUGCCCAAAUGUAAAUGGGUGCAGAAAUUUCCAGAUGAAAGUUUAUGACAUAAAUGAAUCCCUGGUGGUUGAUUUUUGUUUUCCUCUGUGAAGUCCACACAAUGGGAGGCGGCUGCUUAUCACCGAGUAAGAUCACCGAAUGAUUUAAUGGGGGCUUAAAUGAAAAGUAAGAGUUUUCAUACUGGUGUGAUGUAAAUCCUGCGUCCAAUUAAAGCCUCAAAGCAUUUUUUAAAAGCUGUAUAAAAGGUGAAUCAUUUCUGUAAACAGCCCUUAAAGUGAAAACCCAACACCUUUGCUGUGGGAGAAGUAAUACAAUCUCAAAUACCUCAGCAAACAAAGAGUCCCUUCCCUUCUGCGAGCUGCUCUCCUUUUUUCAGCAGCUCAGCAUGGGGUGCCAGAAAAAUCAUUAACGGGCCCAUCUUGCACUUCUGGCUUUUCCACACCUGCGUAUCCCCAUCUCUGCUGUAACUUUAUGGACCGUGAGGAGGCAGGUUUGACGCCAUGAAAGACAGGCUCAGCCAACAGCUGCAGGAUGGGCAGAAAGCCAGACAGUAAAAUGUAAAGAGGGGGAAGGAGAGGCAUCACCUUUGAAGUUUACCAAAAAAAAAAAAAAAAAAAAAAAAGAGAAAAAAAAAAAAAAAAAAGCAUGACUAUGACCAUUUCCUUUUUUANAAAAAAAGCAUGACUUUGACCAUUUCCUUUUUUAAUUAGCUGUCUCAGGUACACUGAGCCAGCGGUUUAAAUGGGUACUGGCAGGGAGUUGUUGGAAAUGUUGAAGGUAAAAUACUGUUUCAUCACAAUGUGACUAUUAUUUUCUUGAAAUUUUUUCACUCUUUUUUUGGUCGUCUGGGGUUUGUUUGUUUUGUUCUGUGUUAAGUUAAACAUCCUAGCACAAUGUCAGGGAAAAGAGCUUAUUUCACUUGGGAAUGCCUGAACUACAGCUAAAAUCUGUACCUUUACAAGUGUGAAAAACAACAUUAAAGCUAUGUUGAAGGGUACUUGGAUCCCAUGCUA